UACGGGAGGCAGCAGUGGGGAAUAUUGCACAAUGGGCGCAAGCCUGAUGCAGCGACGCCGCGUGGGGGAUGACGGCCUUCGGGUUGUAAACUCCUUUCGUUAGGGACGAAGCCACACCUUUUUUGGGUGUGGUGACGGUACCUUUGUUAAGAAGCACCGGCUAACUACGUGCCAGCAGCCGCGGUAAU
rnacentral:rRNA from 1 species